rnacentral:lncRNA from 1 species
CCUAGAUGAAGAAGGCAUGAAAGUAUGGUUUUUAUAUUGAUCUAGAAAAUAAUAAUCUUUUGUAAUAUUUCAAUCCUUUAAUUCUUUUUCAUAUGUAAAGAUAUUUACAUAUUGCUGUACACCCUGUGUGUAUUAAGUAAUAUUUAAGUGAGGCGCGCAACUAACAUGCUCUGCGCUGGACUUUAGAUUCUGCUGGUCUAUUGAACUAUUGAAAUUUUAGUUCCUCAAAUUAGCAACGUGCUAGCAAUGUCUUAAUACGCCUCCUUUUUUAGACCAGAACACCUAUGGGCGUACAUAUGAGCGGAAAUGUAUUUGCUAUUUAAACAGUAUGGUGCAAAAUGUCAAAUUGACUCUUGAAACUAGCAAACAACAAUUGCGUCGCGCCUCGCGCCACAUUGCACCGGGUGUAUGAUAGGGCCCUUAAUGUUACAUCCCAUUCUAUAUAACAAAAACACGCAACAUAGCCCAUUCCUCUUACUUUUUCUACUUCGAAGAAGAGAGAAGAGAACAUAGCAUUACUGCUUGAAUUGACUCCGAAAUGUUAAGCAUUUUAUCACAAUGGAUUUAUUAACACGCUUUGGAUUCAAUGUAAAAGGUUUGUGUACAUGACAAAUAUUUCAGAUAUGCAUCUGUAAAAAACGCAUAAGAAAAUUUCGGUGUGCAAAGACCUUUUUCCUUAUCGUGGAUUAUUUAGGCCCACACGGAAUCUGCGCGCACAGAAAUCUGCAGAUUUAUCGCCCAUGAUUAUUUACUUUUGUAAAUGUGUGUAAAUGUAAAUAUUCAAAAAUAUUUUUGCCAAAUUUGAAAAUGUUCAUAUGAUUUAUUUACAAUACAUCACUUUCUGUCUUUUAGUAGAUAUAUUAUAUGAGAGAUUUGCUUUGCUAACCAGUUAUGUGAAUCUAAUUGAAUUUGCAUUGUAAACAUUAAAUAAAAGUUAAAAAUGUAUUAAUUUUUGUUUCAUAUAUUGUGUUUUUAGUUAUGAUAAAUUAUUUCACAUAAAAUCUGCAGAUUUUUUUACAAAACUCUGCACAGAAAUAGCAAAACUCACUGCAUUACUGCAUUACUCACUGUGUAAACAGAUUCUCAGCUGUCAGACAGAGAGUCAGUCAUUUCUGCCCCACAGACUCCCUCAGGCUUACAGAUCAUUUCUUCCUUGUUUUAGGAAAGACUCUGACACAACCUUCUGUUUUCCAUCAGCCUGGCGUCCGACAGUUUUUCCAUCACUCUUGAACACUAUCGAUCCAUCCGUCUCUCUUCGGCCUCAUCCCUGCACACGUGUGUUUGCAGCAUAUAGUACGGCUGAAACCCAUUUCACCUCUGAUUCCAGACCACUUGGCUUUUCUGUCCGAUUGCCAGAAAUUGCUGACUGGGAUCUUUUUUCCUGACUGGGAAACAAUUUCCCCCUUUUUGCCAAGUGUAUGGACCUGUCUAAUCAUAUAAUUGGCCAAAGCAGAUUGUCUCAGCAAUAACUGCAAUGAAAAAUGAGCGUUGACGGCAGCAAACAGAAAAUACCGGUUGCCACAGCACCUUUAUGGAUUCUGGUGAAAUACAGGAUACAUGGUUAUUUCAGCUCUGUGCUGUAAUGAAGCUAUAAAAUCGGAAAUAAAUAUCUCCUGCAAUUUUGCACAGCAACUAAACUGCAGCUCUGGAUUUCAAUAUUCCUUUUUAUAUGAGAUUUAAAACAUUCAGAUUUUUAAAGUCUAUUAAUAAAUGUUUAAAAAGACUAUUGUGGCUUUUAGUUACACUGUAUUGCACCUUUCAUACAAAGAAAUUUAGCA